AAAUUGAAGAGUUUGAUCAUGGCUCAGAUUGAACGCUGGCGGCAGGCCUAACACAUGCAAGUCGAACGGUAACAGGAAGCAGCUUGCUGCUUCGCUGACGAGUGGCGGACGGGUGAGUAAUGUCUGGGAAACUGCCUGAUGGAGGGGGAUAACUACUGGAAACGGUAGCUAAUACCGCAUAACGUCGCAAGACCAAAGAGGGGGACCUUCGGGCCUCUUGCCAUCGGAUGUGCCCAGAUGGGAUUAGCUAGUAGGUGGGGUAACGGCUCACCUAGGCGACGAUCCCUAGCUGGUCUGAGAGGAUGACCAGCC
rnacentral:rRNA from 1 species